CCUCUAGAGAUUAGAGUUUGAUCCUGGCUCAGGACUGAACGCUGGCGGCGUGCCUAAUACAUGCAAGUCGAGCGAACUGAUUAGAAGCUUGCUUCUAUGACGUUAGCGGCGGACGGGUGAGUAACACGUGGGCAACCUGCCUGUAAGACUGGGAUAACUUCGGGAAACCGAAGCUAAUACCGGAUAGGAUCUUCUCCUUCAUGGGAGAUGAUUGAAAGAUGGUUUCGGCUAUCACUUACAGAUGGGCCCGCGGUGCAUUAGCUAGUUGGUGAGGUAACGGCUCACCAAGGCAACGAUGCAUAGCCGACCUGAGAGGGUGAUCGGCCACACUGGGACUGAGACACGGCCCAGACUCCUACGGGAGGCAGCAGUAGGGAAUCUUCCGCAAUGGACGAAAGUCUGACGGAGCAACGCCGCGUGGGUGAUGAAGGCUUUCGGGUCGUAAAACUCUGUUGUUAGGGAAGAACAAGUACGAGAGUAACUGCUCGUACCCUGACGGUACCUAACCAGAAAGCCACGGCUAACUACGUGCCAGCAGCCGCGGUAAUACGUAGGUGGCAAGCGUUAUCCGGAAUUAUUGGGCGUAAAGCGCGCGCAGGCGGUUUCUUAAGUCUGAUGUGAAAGCCCACGGCUCAACCGU
rnacentral:rRNA from 1 species